ACGGAAGCAUUAGAAUGAAUACUUUCAAGAGCUGACACAGCUAUGGACAAGCUGCUUGCAUUUACAAAAUUCAAGCCGUCAAAGUUUUGAGAAAAAAGAAUGAGACAGAUUAACGAGGAUGAGUGGAAAUUCCCGUUGACCGGUGGCAUAGGCUUGGACAGGACAGGAUGAAAUCUGUCGGCUAGAAGACUUGCCGUGCUUCGCAAGCAUUCGUAAGGAUUUUACGCGACUUAAAGACGGAUGGAAAACCAUGUACGACAGCUUGGAUGCUCAGCACAAGGAUUUUCCUGCAGAGUGGCAAGCAAAGUUGGGUGAAUUCCAACGGAUGCUCAUCAUUCACUGUCUGAGACCUGAGAAGGUACGUACAAGGCUACCGUCUUAUUUAAAAAAAAAAACAAAAAACACGUGUAUUUUAGAAACAAAAAACAUUU